rnacentral:antisense_RNA from 1 species
AGAAGGGCUUCUGCGAUGGUUUCCGUCCAGGGGCCUUUUUCUUUUGC